CCUACGGGAGGCAGCAGUGGGGAAUAUUGCACAAUGGGCGAAAGCCUGAUGCAGCAACGCCGCGUGAGCGAUGAAGGCCUUCGGGUCGUAAAGCUCUGUCCUCAAGGAAGAUAAUGACGGUACUUGAGGAGGAAGCCCCGGCUAACUACGUGCCAGCAGCCGCGGUAAUACGUAGGGGGCUAGCGUUAUCCGGAAUUACCGGGCGUAAAGGGUGCGUAGGUGGUUUCUUAAGUCAGAGGUGAAAGGCUACGGCUCAACCGUAGUAAGCCUUUGAAACUGGGAAACUUGAGUGCAGGAGAGGAGAGUGGAAUUCCUAGUGUAGCGGUGAAAUGCGUAGAUAUUAGGAGGAACACCAGUUGCGAAGGCAGCUUACCAAUCUAUAUCUGACGUUGAGGCACGAAAGCGUGGGGAGCAAACAGGAUUAGAUACCCUUGUAGUC
rnacentral:rRNA from 1 species